rnacentral:rRNA from 1 species
UACGAAGGGAGCUAGCGUUACUCGGAAUUAUUGGGCGUAAAGCGUGCGCAGGCGGCCUUGAAAGUUGGAAGUGAAAGCCCAGAGCUCAACUCUGGAAUUGCUUUCAAAACUACAAGGCUAGAGUGUCAGAGAGGAUGGCGGAAUUCCUAGUGUAGAGGUGAAAUUCGUAGAUAUUAGGAGGAACACCGGUGGCGAAGGCG